rnacentral:lncRNA from 1 species
AAGACAUCCUAAGUAAUAGAUAAUACUUCAAAAUAAUGUAAGUCAGCACUUAACUAUUAUUUGGUUCAAGGCAUAAAGUAUAUUACAAUUUCUGUUUUAGAUUAACCUUGGAAUUAUAUAGUUUUGGUGCAUUCUAUCAUAAUUUCAAUUCAUGGCUUUCUAAAAUAUUCUCUCAUGUGCAUGUGGCUUUCUAAAAUAUUCUCUCAUGUGCAUGUGGCAGAAACGUUUUGAUUAAGUAGCAUGCUGCAUACUUGGAAAGGGAAUUAAAAAGAACUUGGAAGAAUAUAGAUUUCCAAGUCCUUUGCUGUCAUUAUAAUUGUUUACCACUCAAAGAAUCUUAACUAGUAAAAAGAUGAAAAAACAAAACAAAUUAAUAACUUGAAGCCACCAAUAAUUCAGAGUGCCAUGUAUCAUUUCCUUGAAAUCAUUAAACUAUUAUCCACACAAUCUAGAACCUGUGUCCUUCAUGAUGCCAGUGUGUAUGUGACAAUAGAGAUGCAGAUCUUAAAAAUAUAAUACUACAUAGUAAAUACAGCUACAAUGAUUUGUUCUGAAGCAAAAUAUAUAUAAAACUAACCUUUCAAAAAACUUGGAUCUUUUCUUAGGGGCUUUGACAUUAGUCUUCUUGGCAGCAUCUUUUUUAUUAUUAUUGACAGAGUCCCCAAGUUUUUCAGUAACAACCCAUUCAUUGACUCUCCCAGCUUCAAAAAGACCUAUUAAGGUAGCUUUGGUUCUGUGCAAAGACAUCACAUUCUCAAAAAGGAUCCAAUAGAACAAGAGAUGUAUUGACCUGUCAAAGUUCCACAUAGCUUUUAGAACAAAUUAAUGAAUUGUGUAAGAACAUCAUAUGGCAAGUAGAGAGAAGAACAAAUAAUCAGACCUUGGUGUUCCAACUGAAUUGAGAAUGGUGAUGAUGGAAGGAAUAUAAACAGCUCCCCAUAUUGGAACAUGAACUUCAGGGACCAAAAUUGUAAGGGGAAGCACCACACAAUAGAAGAAGAAGGUGACCAUAUGGGCUAUGAUCUUACGAACAAAGAAGAAGCUGUAUAUAACAUAUACUUUCUUCCAGAACCUCACUCUCUGCAGAUUUGUGUACAUAAAAAGAGAGCAUCAAAAUAUAUGAAAAUGUGAGCAAGUUCCUUUUUCUUCCUCAGUAUCUGAGUUAUAUGAUUGAAAAGACUAACCUUGUUCCUUAUUAUCUCCAUCACCAUUUUGCGGAACAGAUUAGCCGGUCCACAAGACCAUCUGUGCUGCUGGAAUCUGAAGGCUCUCAAAGUACUUGGAAGCUCACUUUUAGCCUAUAAAGUUUAUGUUUCCGAUUAAAAACAACCAAUCUUACUAACAGACGUAAAAAUAGGACACAUGUCAUGAUGGCUUUCUAAAAUAUUCUCUCAUGUGCAUGUGGCUUUCUAAAAUAUUCUCUCAUGUGCAUGUGGCUUUCUAAAAUAUUCUCUCAUGUGCAUGUGGCUUUCUAAAAUAUUCUCUCAUGUGCAUGUGGCAGAAACGUUUUGAUUAAGUAGCAUGCUGCAUACUUGGAAAGGGAAUUAAAAAGAACUUGGAAGAAUAUAGAUUUCCAAGUCCUUUGCUGUCAUUAUAAUUGUUUACCACUCAAAGAAUCUUAACUAGUAAAAAGAUGAAAAAACAAAACAAAUUAAUAACUUGAAGCCACCAAUAAUUCAGAGUGCCAUGUAUCAUUUCCUUGAAAUCAUUAAACUAUUAUCCACACAAUCUAGAACCUGUGUCCUUCAUGAUGCCAGUGUGUAUGUGACAAUAGAGAUGCAGAUCUUAAAAAUAUAAUACUACAUAGUAAAUACAGCUACAAUGAUUUGUUCUGAAGCAAAAUAUAUAUAAAACUAACCUUUCAAAAAACUUGGAUCUUUUCUUAGGGGCUUUGACAUUAGUCUUCUUGGCAGCAUCUUUUUUAUUAUUAUUGACAGAGUCCCCAAGUUUUUCAGUAACAACCCAUUCAUUGACUCUCCCAGCUUCAAAAAGACCUAUUAAGGUAGCUUUGGUUCUGUGCAAAGACAUCACAUUCUCAAAAAGGAUCCAAUAGAACAAGAGAUGUAUUGACCUGUCAAAGUUCCACAUAGCUUUUAGAACAAAUUAAUGAAUUGUGUAAGAACAUCAUAUGGCAAGUAGAGAGAAGAACAAAUAAUCAGACCUUGGUGUUCCAACUGAAUUGAGAAUGGUGAUGAUGGAAGGAAUAUAAACAGCUCCCCAUAUUGGAACAUGAACUUCAGGGACCAAAAUUGUAAGGGGAAGCACCACACAAUAGAAGAAGAAGGUGACCAUAUGGGCUAUGAUCUUACGAACAAAGAAGAAGCUGUAUAUAACAUAUACUUUCUUCCAGAACCUCACUCUCUGCAGAUUUGUGUACAUAAAAAGAGAGCAUCAAAAUAUAUGAAAAUGUGAGCAAGUUCCUUUUUCUUCCUCAGUAUCUGAGUUAUAUGAUUGAAAAGACUAACC